rnacentral:rRNA from 1 species
GUCGAGAAUCUUCCGCAAUGGGCGAAAGCCUGACGGAGCGACACCGCGUGCAGGAUGAAGGCCUUCGGGUUGUAAACUGCUGUCACGCUCUAGGAAUUACGCGCCGUUAACAGCGCCGCGUUUGACCAAAGCGAAAGGAAGCACCGGCUAACUCCGUGCCAGCAGCCGCGGUAAGACGGAGGGUGCAAACGUUGUUCGGAAUCACUGGGCAUAAAGCGCACGUAGGCGGCACGCUAAGUCGGGAGUGAAAGCCCUCGGCUCAACCGAGGAAUGUCUCCCGAUACUGGCGUGCUUGAGGACGGUUGGGGUGAGUGGAACUCCUGGUGGAGCGGUGAAAUGCGUAGAUAUCAGGAGGAACACCGGUGGCGAAAGCGGCUCACUGGGCCGUCUCUGACGCUGAGGUGCGAAAGCUAGGGUAGCGAACGGGAUUAGAAACCCCAGUAGUCC